rnacentral:rRNA from 1 species
GACGAACGCUGGCGGCGUGCCUAAUACAUGCAAGUAGAGCGCUGAAGAGAGGAGCUUGCUCUUCUUGGAUGAGUUGCGAACGGGUGAGUAACGCGUAGGUAACCUGCCUUGUAGCGGGGGAUAACUAUUGGAAACGAUAGCUAAUACCGCAUAACAAUGGUUGACACAUGUCAUUUAUUUGAAAGGGGCAAUUGCUCCACUACAAGAUGGACCUGCGUUGUAUUAGCUAGUAGGUGAGGUAAUGGCUCACCUAGGCGACGAUACAUAGCCGACCUGAGAGGGUGAUCGGCCACACUGGGACUGAGACACGGCCCAGACUCCUACGGGAGGCAGCAGUAGGGAAUCUUCGGCAAUGGGGGCAAGCCUGACCGAGCAACGCCGCGUGAGUGAAGAAGGUUUUCGGAUCGUAAAGCUCUGUUGUAAGUCAAGAACGGGUGUGAGAGUGGAAAGUUCACACUGUGACGGUAGCUUACCAGAAAGGGACGGCUAACUACGUG